AACGAACGCUGGCGGCAUGCCUAACACAUGCAAGUCGAACGAGACCUUCGGGUCUAGUGGCGCACGGGUGCGUAACGCGUGGGAACCUGCCCUUAGGUUCGGAAUAACUCCCCGAAAGGGGUGCUAAUACCGGAUAAUGUCUUCGGACCAAAGAUUUAUCGCCUUUGGAUGGGCCCGCGUUGGAUUAGCUAGUUGGUAGGGUAAAAGCCUACCAAGGCGACGAUCCAUAGCUGGUCUGAGAGGAUGAUCAGCCACACUGGGACUGAGACACGGCCCAGACCCCGAGGGAGGAGAGCGGGGGAAAAUAUGAGAAAAGGGGGAAGGCCUUAACCAAGCAGCGCCGGGGAAGAAGGAAGGCCUUUAGGGUAGAAAAUUUUUUUUCCCCGGAAGGAUAAUGACGGUACGGGGAAAAUAAGCCCCGGCUAACUCCGUG
rnacentral:rRNA from 1 species